rnacentral:lncRNA from 1 species
GUCAAGACCUAUUUGCAAUUCUGUUAAAUCUAAGUAAUUGUUAGUGUUUCACCAUAGAAUUUAGGAUGUGAUAUGCCUUUCUUUCGCUGAUUAUACAAUAUAAGUAAAAACAGACUGAAACAGUUAGUAUGCUGGGGGUGCUACUGACUCCAGCUUGGCAGAAAAUCUUUCUGGAGAAGAAGGUGAUCUGGAGUGAGAGAGAAAUUAUUUCUACAUUUUGUAAUAUGAUAUAUGUGUGUUUAUUUUUAAUUCAAAUUGCUAUGCAUACAGAGAGUAUGCAGAAAAAUCAAUCAGAUCAAACUGUUUUACCUGGAGUUUGGUACUGGUUUUUACUUCUCUGAUUCUGUAUAAGAAAAAUAAAUACAAUUGAAUUUCC